rnacentral:rRNA from 1 species
GAUGAACGCUAGCGACAGGCCUAACACAUGCAAGUCGAGGGGCAGCACAUGAGUAGCAAUACGAUGGUGGCGACCGGCGCACGGGUGAGUAACACGUAUGCAACCUGCCUGUAAGAGGGGAAUAACCCGGAGAAAUUCGGACUAAUACCGCAUAAUACCACGAGACUGCAUGGUUUGUGGUUAAACAUUUAUGGCUUACAGAUGGGCAUGCGUAUGAUUAGAUAGUUGGUAGGGUAACGGCCUACCAAGUCUACGAUCAUUAGGGGUUCUGAGAGGAAGGUCCCCCACACUGGUACUGAGACACGGACCAGACUCCUACGGGAGGCAGCAGUGAGGAAUAUUGGUCAAUGGGCGAGAGCCUGAACCAGCCAAGUCGCGUGAAGGAAGAAGGAUCUAUGGUUCGUAAACUUCUUUUGCAGGGGAAUAAAGUGCAGGACGUGUCCUGUUUGUAUGUACCCUGAGAAUAAGGAUCGGCUAACUCCGUGCCAGC